GGGCAUAUGGUGUAGGGGUUAUCACGUUCGCUUUGCAUUCUGGAUCCAAUAACACCUUGCGAAAGGUCUCCGGUUCAAAUCCGGAUCUGUCCA